UGCAUGUUCUGCACACUAAGCCGUUGCUUGAGCAGCAGAGGUAGCAUUCUUUAAUUUCAUGUUCCAAUUCUGCCUGCCAACAGAAAAAUUACCAUUACCAUCUCAAGGAAAUGAAUGACCAUGUUCCAACCUUUCAUCCUUGAAACCUAAGUGGCAUGAACCACCAUCAUCAACACAAUAUUGCAUUGAAAGUUCUCAAACAGCUCUGGCAACAAGGCAUGCAUGUUCUGCAAACUCAGUCGCUGCUUGAGCAGUAGAGGUAGCAUCUUUAAAUUUCAUGUUCCAAUUCUGCCUGCCAACAGAAAAAUUACCAUUACCAUCUUCAGGAAAUGAUUGCCCAUAUCCCAACCUUUCAUCCUUGAAACCUAAGUGGCAUGAACCACCAUCAUCAAUACAAUAUUACCUUGAAUGUUCUACAACAGCUCUUGCUGCUAGGCUUGCAUGUUCUGUAAACUCAACCGGUGCUUGAGAAGCAGAGGGAGCAUCCUUAAAUUUAAUGUUCCAAUUCUUCCUGCCAACAGAAAA
rnacentral:lncRNA from 1 species